rnacentral:misc_RNA from 1 species
GAGCGUCAUUACAACCCUCAAGCCCAGCUUGGUAUUGGGCGCCGUCCCUCGGGGCGCGCCUGGAAAGCAGCGGCGGUGCGGCCGGUGAUCAAGCGUAGUAACUACUCCCGCUUCGAGACACCCGGGCGUGCCAGCCGGACAACAACCCACUAUUUUCAAUGGUUGACCUCGGAUCAGGUAGGGAUACCCGCUGAACUUAA